rnacentral:rRNA from 1 species
GAAGAACGCUGGCGGAGUGCUUAACACAUGCAAGUCGAACGAAGUGGCGAACGGGUGAGUAACGCGUAAUCAACCUGCCCUUCAGAGGGGGACAACAGUUGGAAACGACUGCUAAUACCGCAUACUGAAGGAGGGGAUUGCGUCUGAUUAGCUAGUUGGAGGGGUAACGACCCACCAAGGCGAGGAUCGGUAGCCGGUCUGUGAGAAUGAACGGCCAAAUUAGGACUGGGAAUCAGCCCAGACUCCUACAGGAGACAGCAGUGGGGAAUCUUCCGCAAUGGACGAAAGUCUGACGGAGCAACGCCGCGUGAGUGAUGACGGCCUUCGGGUUGUAAAGAUCUGUUAAUCGGGACGCGGUACCGGAAUAGAAAGCCACGGCUAACUACGUGCCAGCAGCCGCGGUAAGAC